GGAUAACGUUUGGAAACGAACGCUAAUACCGCAUGAUAUUAUUGAGCUGCAUGGCUUGAUAAUCAAAGGAGCAAUCCGCUGAAAGAUGGGCUCGCGUCCGAUUAGGUAGUUGGCGGGGCAACGGCCCACCAAGCCGACGAUCGGUAGCCGGACUGAGAGGUUGAACGGCCACAUUGGGACUGAGACACGGCCCAGACUCCUACGGGAGGCAGCAGUGAGGGAUAUUGGUCAAUGGGGGAAACCCUGAACCAGCAACGCCGCGUGAGGGAAGACGGUUUUCGGAUUGUAAACCUCUGUCCUCUGUGAAGAUAAUGACGGUAGCAGAGGAGGAAGCUCCGGCUAACUACGUGCCAGCAGCCGCGGUAAUACGUAGGGAGCAAGCGUUGUCCGGAUUUACUGGGUGUAAAGGGUGCGUAGGCGGCUUUGCAAGUCAGGAGUGAAAUCCAUGGGCUCAACCCAUGAACUGCUUUUGAAACUGCAGAGCUUGAGUGGAGUAGAGGUAGGCGGAAUUCCCGGUGUAGCGGUGAAAUGCGUAGAGAUCGGGAGGAACACCAGUGGCGAAGGCGGCCUGCUGGGCUCUAACUGACGCUGAGGCACGAAAGCGUGGGUAGCAAACAGGAUUAGAUACCCUGGUAGUCCACGCUGUAAACGAUGAUUACUAGGUGUGGGUGGACUGACCCCAUCCGUGCCGGAG
rnacentral:rRNA from 1 species